GAUGAACGCUGGCGGCGUGCCUAAUACAUGCAAGUCGAGCGAACAGACGAGGAGCUUGCUCCUCUGACGUUAGCGGCGGACGGGGGAGUAACACGUGGAUAACCUACCUAUAAGACUGGGAUAACUUCGGGAAACCGGAGCUAAUACCGGAUAAUAUAUUGAACCGCAUGGUUCAAUAGUGGAAGACGGUUUUGCUGUCACUUAUAGAUGGAUCCGCGCCGCAUUAGCUAGUUGGUAAGGUAACGGCUUACCAAGGCAACGAUGCGUAGCCGACCUGAGAGGGUGAUCGGCCACACUGGAACUGAGACACGGUCCAGACUCCUACGGGAGGCAGCAGUAGGGAAUCUUCCGCAAUGGGCGAAAGCCUGACGGAGCAACGCCGCGUGAGUGAUGAAGGUCUUCGGAUCGUAAAACUCUGUUAUUAGGGAAGAACAAAUGUGUAAGUAACUAUGCACGUCUUGACGGUACCUAAUCAGAAAGCCACGGCUAACUACGUG
rnacentral:rRNA from 1 species